GGGAAACCCGUACUCGCCCUAAGGCCCAUCAUCACAACACGUCACAUCGGGUGUUUGGGGAGCACUCCGGGCCACCAGACACCUACCGUCUGGAACGGGAAGAUACCCGGGGACCCGACACGCGGUGACUCUGGGGCCGGAGCGAUGAGCGGCGCAACUGGAAGAGUGGGUUUCAGAAACGAAGCACGUCUCUGCAGAGCUCAGUCCCCGGAAGCUCUCGGCAGGGCUCACUGUGGCCGCCGGGCUCUGACAGAAGCCGAGCCGUCUGAAGCCGAGGUCACCGUGAGAAACCUGAGAAAUGGGGGCGCGUGGCCCAGACCCUCGCUUGCUUCCUCAGCGACCAGAGGAAAAGCCGGGAGAACGAUGGGUGGCCGUUUGACAGCCCCGGGGUGGAGGCUACCGGGAUAUUGUCCCCCGGCCCCGUCGGACUCCCCACGAUUCCCGUGACCCCACACUGUCCAGUAAGACAAAUGCUCCGAGCCGAGGUCGCCACACACACUCUACAACCUUACGUCCCCAGAGCUCCUCCUGCCUAGGUCGGUGCACCCAGCAGACACGCAUUCCUUGCUUUGGCCGGUGACCCAGGAGCCGGGCCCCAGGAACGCUCUUCUCAGGCAGGGAGGCCGGGAGCCAAGCAAAAUCGGCUCAUGUCCCCCGAGGCCCGUGGGAGGGUGGCGCCGCGUGGCCGCCACCCAGGUGCUAGCCCAUUUUCCCAGGUACGUUUCCUCGACGCACAUCCUAACUCCGACUUCUUCUCUGUCCUGUCUGCGUCUCGGCUCCUCUGCUGCUCACCCUGGAGAAGGUCUUCCCGCUGCCCUGUGCUCUGACACCUGCAUCCUCUAGGCCCUUAGGGAAGCCAGUCUCCCUCCCAAGGACAGCCUCUCCGGGGGCUCCGUGCCCCCCCCCCCAGGUCAUGGUGGCUUCCAGGGGCCCCGCAGAUGGUCCUGCAGACUUGGCACAGUGGGCAGAUGGGGCAGGGACACGGACACUGCAGAAGAGCUUUCCGCAGUCCUUCUUCUGGAAGGACAGAGAGCUCCCGGGAGGAAAUGGCUGCAGAGGAAGUAGACGGAUCUCAGAAGGAGCAGCUCGAGUCCCUCUCCCUCCUGGAGAUCCCCCUGCUCCUUAGGUGAGAAAGUCUGCACUGAAAAUCUAAGACCCCAAAGGGUUCCCCAGAGUAAUUGAUUUUUCACGGUGUUUACUGGGAGAGUUUUGUUGUAAAACUCUGAAAGGCUCCAGGGAAGGACGCAACACUGGUGCAGAGCAAGGUGCACCUGCCGGGCCCUCAGGGUGAGGAAACUUCUGGCGAUGCUCCUGGGGCGCCCUGAGGCGGCAGGUGCCGCUGGUCCCACCCACGCUGACUUCUCGCACCCUCCGCACAGGGCCGCGCCACUUAGAAGGACAAGCUGUCUCCACUGUCGACUUUGCACCUGUCACCUUUAGAGCACCUUCCUCUUAACCCACUCCAAAUCCUACCAGUCAUUUUCGGAAAUAUUUGAGAAAGAGUUACUCUAAAA